GAGCUCAUGUUACUUAAAGGAAAAGAAAAUAAAAGGAAACAAGGAGGCGUCUGCCACAUUCUCUGCAGCUUAGUUUUCUCAUCUACAAAAUGCCAAGGCAGUUUUGAUAAUUAAAUGUCAUGCAUAGAGAGGGAUGAAAACUGUGUGUAGCACCCAAGGGUUCAAUAAACAUUCAUGAGUGUUACUGGAUUAUAUUCUCUUCUCUUCUCCUCCAUGCUUGAGUCUUAAUGUCUGUUACAAGGUAAAUGAAGACCAUGAAUGAUCCAAGGAUGUUAGAGGCACAUUCCAUUGACUAUUAACCUCUAGGGUGUAAAUGGACUGAUUCCUUUAAAGGUGCAAGAAUAGAGGAAACCAUCUGGCACCCAGAGAGGGCCUGGCCCAACAAAAGUACUGGAUGACCGUGUGGCGCAAUGAAUUAAAUCUUCUAUUUAUGGGCGUGGAGCAGGUGCAGCCUGAAGAGGAGAGUAAGGAAAGAGAGAAGCUGAAGAAAGAGAAUGAUGAUGAGGAGGAAAGGAAAACAACAGAGGACAAUGAAGGGGCAGCACCUUUGAGUGAAUGAAAGACUUGCCUUCCUCAAGACAUGUUGCUACCAUCAGCCUCAACAGUGUCAUAACACAGAUGCAAACCUAUGCUGACUAUGAAGGCCCUGUGAGGAUAACAGUGGGAAGGUGGACAUCUACAAGCCAGGACGAGAAGCCUCACCAGAAACCAGCCUGGACGGCGCUUUGAUCAUGGACUUCCAACCUCCAGAACUGUGACACAUUAAAUGUCUGUUGUUUAAA